rnacentral:rRNA from 1 species
UUGAACGCUGGCGGCAUGCUUUACACAUGCAAGUCGAACGGUAACAGGUCUUCGGAUGCUGACGAGUGGCGAACGGGUGAGUAAUGCAUCGGAACGUGCCCAGUCGUGGGGGAUAACGCAGCGAAAGCUGUGCUAAUACCGCAUACGAUCUACGGAUGAAAGCGGGGGAUCGCAAGACCUCGCGCGAUUGGAGCGGCCGAUGUCAGAUUAGCUAGUUGGUGGGGUAAAGGCCCACCAAGGCGACGAUCUGUAGCUGGUCUGAGAGGACGACCAGCCACACUGGGACUGAGACACGGCCCAGACUCCUACGGGAGGCAGCAGUGGGGAAUUUUGGACAAUGGGGGCAACCCUGAUCCAGCCAUGCCGCGUGAGUGAAGAAGGCCUUCGGGUUGUAAAGCUCUUUCGGACGGAAAGAAACGGUCACGGCCAAUACCCGUGGCUAAUGACGGUACCGUCAGAAGAAGCACCGGCUAACUACGU